rnacentral:rRNA from 1 species
GACGAACGCUGGCGGCGUGCUUAACACAUGCAAGUCGAACGGAAAGGCCCUGCUUUUGUGGGGUGCUCGAGUGGCGAACGGGUGAGUAACACGUGAGUAACCUGCCCUUGACUUUGGGAUAACUUCAGGAAACUGGGGCUAAUACCGGAUAGGAGCUCCUGCUGCAUGGUGGGGUUGGAAAGUUUCGGCGGUUGGGGAUGGACUCGCGGCUUAUCAGCUUGUUGGUGGGGUAGUGGCUUACCAAGGCUUUGACGGGUAGCCGGCCUGAGAGGGUGACCGGCCACAUUGGGACUGAGAUACGGCCCAGACUCCUACGGGAGGCAGAAGUGGGGAAUAUUGCACAAUGGGCGGAAGCCUGAUGCAGCAACGCCGCGUGCGGGAUGACGGCCUUCGGGUUGUAAACCGCUUUCGCCUGUGACGAAGCGUGAGUGACGGUAAUGGGUAAAGAAGCACCGGCUAACUACGUG